UAAUAUAUUUUUAAAAUAAUAAUCUUGUAUAUAGACAUGCUUUAAUAGAUCUAAUAAAUGAUUAACUCGGACCUACCAAUAUGGGUAUAUAAAUACUUAAAUCUGGGUAUUUAAAAUUUUGAAUGCGAAUUUUAAAAAAACCGAACUUAUAUUGAUCUAGAUUCUAGAUCUCUUGUAUAAUAUCUAGAAUAAUAUAGAUCUACAACACCUAGACUAAAGUUAAAGACUAAGACUUCACUUUCACAUCACAUUCACACGAUUAUUGAUACAGACAGUGAAUGAAACGAAUGCAGUGGUUAUACUGAUUAUACUUAAAGUGACGAUACUACUUACAGAUCUACCAGUUGAUAAACAUCAUCAUCAUAGAUAAUAAUCUACAUCUAUAAUCAUAGUGCCCUUUAUUUAGUCAAUAUAGUCAAGUCAAGAUAGUGGAACGUAAACUCGAAGGUUUAAUACAAUAUGUUAUUAACAAGUAGAACCAUGGCAACCAGUUCUGAUGAUGUCCCAGAAUGGCUCAAGGAUCAUACUUAUACUAUUUCUACUCUCUGGGCAUCCAUUCAAUAUUUAAUUUAUGUUUGGAAAUGCAAGAAAAAGGCAUGCAUUCCUGAAAAGUCAAUGAUUGGUUGCACCUCUUAAAGAUAACUUUCUGUUAUGAGAAAAGAUGAGAUUCUUGGACUCCUGCAUAGCACCACCAGAAAGGAAAAUCCCAUCAUGUUGCAAAAUAAAAGUCUUGGACCAAUUUUAAUUUAAGAUAUAUAUAUUAUACUGUAAGCUGUAUACAUAUUUAUGUAUAUCCUGUCAUUCAGCCAACAGGUUUGGAUUUAGUAUUUCUUUAAAUCUGUUUGAUAUUGUACUUGAAAACUAUUAAUCUGAGCCGCAUUAAAACAAGAGGGAGUGCAGUGGAUGAGUGGUAAGGGAAAUUUUACUUUUUUUAAAUUAAAAUAAGAAUCUAACAAAAGUAAACAUAUAAAAUAUGGUGCAUUCUCCUUAAAACUAAAACCUGGUGCAAAGGUUUAAAAUGUUGGCAAAAAAAAAGCAACAUCAAUUAAAUAUUUUUAAUUCCCUUUGCAAAACUUACUGAGAAGAACAUGCAUGUUGUUCCCUCAUAAGUUUCUUGACAGAGGAAAUCUUGUUUAUAUUAGAUUUGAAUUAAGCAAAUUAAGAAAAAAAUUAUAAUCAUUAUUUCAAAUGGUUGUAUCUAAACCUUAUGAAUUAUUUUUCAGUUAUAAGUAUAUUGAAAUGAAUGGAUAAUCAUGAAAUUGUUAAAUAAUUGCUGCUAUCAUUCCAUUGACUAAAGAACCAUAAUUUUUUUUUUAAUUAAUUUCAAAAUUAAUUAAUUAAUUUUCAAGCAGAGUUCACAUAGAUCUUGAGUGAAAUUUUUCUUUUUUGACUAAUGCUUCAAUUUUAUUGUAUCAUUAGUUUUUUAUUUUUAUUACCCAGAAUAUUUUAAAAAUGAGUACACUAUUUUCAUGUAAUAAUGUAACUUGGUAUUCACACAUCAAAAUACGCUAUCUAUAAUCUUUAGGCCAUAUAGAUUUGUAUAAAUAUAAAUUAACUUGCUUAAAUACAUUGUAAAUGUAUAUUGUUUGGAUAAGAAUUAAGUUUUUCUGUAGACAAUUAUUGUUCAAGAUUUGUUGAUGCUCCUGCUUAAUAAAUUAUAUACACAGGUCAUUAGUUUUAACACACUACUGACACAAGAAAAACUGGUCGCCCCCACUUCCAUUACAUAGAUGUAAUAAAACGUGACCUCAAAUCAGUGAACAUCAAUACUGACAAUUGGGAAGACAUAGCUUUAGACCGCAACAGAUGGAGAGACAGUGACCAAGAAAGCUAUGGCCAGUGAAAGUACAUAGGUCUCAGCUCAGGAAGAAAAACGUACAAUCCGAAAAACUGCCAGCUCCUUCCUACCACCUAAGCAAAAGCCACCUUAACCUGCGCUAUCUGUGGACAGGAGUGUCUCUCCGAAAUAGGGCUCCCCAACCACACGAGGAAGUGUGCUCUGAGAUGAAACCUUAGUCUUUCUAUUUCUACGACUGAAGGAGGCCAAUGAUGAUGAUACAGGUCAUUAGUUUUAACACGUCUGAUAAUAAAUGACAGUACAAGUUAUUGAAUGAAAAUUUUUCAUUAUUUCAGGUGCUUUAGGCCUACAUCAAUGUGAGGUACCAGUACUUUGAUUGUGUCAUAUAACAAUUUAAAGCAACAUUUUGAAAUGAAUAGUGUGUAGAAUUGACAGUAAAUACAUUUAAGUGAUGGGCUGUGAUCUGCAUGAAUUGAAUUUGUGUUUUUGAUCUUUACUUCAAGUAAAUGUUAAUGAACAAUUAAUUUUUAAUGAAUAAAUAAUUUAAAAAUAAAUACAAAGAAACCAUAAACAUCUACUUUAUUUUAAUAAUUUUUUUUCAUCAGAACAGAAUUUCCAACUUUGCAUUCUUAAAAUAAAAUAUAAUUUAUUUAGAGUAGAGUCAGAACACAAAAUCAUAGUUUUGAAAUUAAGUAAAUUAAGCUAAGCUGUCAUCUCUUAUAAACAUUUGUAUAUAGACUACACACAAUUUAAUUAUUAUUUUUCAUCAAAUUGCAGGAACUAGUACAUGUACUUAUGCAUAUUUGACAAUAAAAAACCUUAGUCAAUGAAAUAGUAAUACUAGUAAAUGAGAUAAAAGUAAACUAAAUAUCAUCAAUGCUAUUGAAGCCACACUUGUUUCUUUUUAUCUUGUUUGGUGGACUGCAAUUAAAGUUGCUAUUAAUUUUACUGAUUGUCUUAGCUGAAAUGCCAGUGUCGUCUCUUUGAAUCCUAAGCUUAUUUUCUUGGUUACUGGAAGUCCAGAUGUUUGGAGUUUCAUUUUAAACACCUAUAUAUUCCGAAACCUAUUUGCCUAACAUGUCAUAUGCACAUAAAGAGGUACCACAGAAAUGCUUUAAAGACAAGCUUAGGCGCCAACUUGCUUUAACUGAUAUAGAAUAAGAGAGCACUUGGUUGCAUACAGCUUCAGAGCGAGACAG